rnacentral:rRNA from 1 species
AAUGGGUGAUGGCGUGCCUUUUGUAGAAUGAACCGGCGAGUUACGAUUUGAUGCAAGGUUAAGCAGUAAAUGUGGAGCCGUAGCGAAAGCGAGUCUGAAUAGGGCGUUUAGUAUUUGGUCGUAGACCCGAAACCAGGUGAUCUACCCUUGGUCAGGUUGAAGUUCAGGUAACACUGAAUGGAGGACCGAACCGACUUACGUUGAAAAGUGAGCGGAUGAACUGAGGGUAGCGGAGAAAUUCCAAUCGAACCUGGAGAUAGCUGGUUCUCUCCGAAAUAGCUUUAGGGCUAGCCUCAAGUGAUGAUUAUUGGAGGUAGAGCACUGUUUGGACGAGGG